AUGAACUGCUUGCGCGUCUUCAACCACCGGCUGCACCUGUCGCACCUCUGCAACAACAACAACUACGCCCCCUUCCGAAUCAGUAUGGACGAGCACAGCGUGUUCCCUGCUGUUGGUGUUUCUUUGGCUCCUGCUACUGCUCCUGCUGGUACCCAGGAGGAUGAUGAGUAUGCGGGCGAUUAUGAGGAUGAGGUUGAUCAAAAUCAGAUCUACGAGCAGCCACCAGCACCACCACCAGCAGGUCGACCUCAGGUAUAUAUUCGUAAUGGUAGGCCUGCACCACCACCUCAGGUACGAGAUGAUGUCCAUAUUCCUAAACUAAAAUUGAAUAUUCCACCAUUUGAGGGUAGAUAUGUUCCUGAUAUAUAUCUUACUUGGGAGUUAGAAACUGAACAACGAUUUACAUGUUUACAAUAUCCUGAGGAGAGACGAGUUGCUGCUGCCGUUUGUGCUUUCACUAGUUUUGCAUGUGUAUGGUGGUCUGAACAUUGUAGAUUAUAUCCUAUUCCAACUACUUGGGCUGCUUUGAAAACUGCUAUGCGUACGCGUUGGGUUCCACCAUAUUAUCAACGUGAAUUGCUUCAAAAAUUGCAGCGUUUAAGACAAGGGAAAAAUUCUGUAGAAGAAUAUUAUCAGGAAUUACAAACUGGCAUCAUUAGAUGUGGUAUUGUUGAGGAGAAUGAAGCUAUGCUUGCACGUUUUCUGGGUGGAUUAAAUAGAGAGAUUCAGACCAUUCUAGACUAUAAGGAGUAUACUAAUAUCACUCGUUUAUUCCAUCUUGCUUGUAAAGCUGAACGUGAAGUGCAGGAUCGACAAGCAUUGGGGCGAACUAACUUUUCUGCAGGCCGACCUUCAUCAUGGACACCACGUGCAUCUUCUACUUCAACUACACCAGCACCUCCAUCCGGUGCCACCUCCAGCCAUGAUACAAGAAAACAGGCACAACCACCAUUAUCUGCCAAGAGCGCACCUGCGGGGCCUCCACAGCGUUCUUCUUCUUCCAUGGCAUCAACAGGGCACACAAGUGAUAUUAUUUGUCGUCGUUGUAAGGGAGGAGGUCAUUAUGCGAGAGAAUGCAAAUCUCCGCGUGUGAUGAUUGCUACCGCGGAUGGUGGAUAUGAGUCUGCUAGUGACUAUGAUGAGGAGACUUUGGCUCUUAUUACACGUGAAGAACAUGGUGGAGAUGAUUCUGAUCAUGAGACGCAAUACAUGGCUCCUGAAGACGCUGACAGGUAUGAAUGUUUAGUUGCUCAACGUGUUUUGAGUGUGCAGGUCACACAAGCUGAGCAAAAUCAGAGGCACAAUUUGUUCCAUACCAAGGGAGUUGUGAAGGAACGUUCUGUGCGCGUCAUCAUAGACGGAGGAGCUGCAACAACUUGGCUAGCAUGGAGAUGGUGGAGAAGCUUUCUCUCACCACACGACCACAUCCACAUCCUUACUACAUCCAAUGGUUUCAAGAACAGCGGCAAGGUUAAGGUAACACGUACUGUUCGUGUGCAUUUUAGUAUCUCUACAUAUGCUGAUUAUGUUGAUUGUGAUGUGGUACCUAUGCAAGCAUGUUCCUUAUUACUUGGUAGACCAUGGCAAUUUGAUAAAAAUUCUGUACACCAUGGUAGAAACAAUCACUAUACUCUUGUUCAUAAGGAUAAAAAUAUUACUUUGCUUCCUAUGACUCCUGAUUCCAUUUUGAAAGAUGAUAUUAAUAGAGCUAAUAAAGCACAACAGGAGAAGAAUAAGAGUGAAAAUCAGAUUGUGGCAAAAGAAUUUGAGCAAAUAAUGAAGCCUAAUAAUAAACCAUCUAGUGUUGCUUCUGAAAUUAAAUUGAAAAGUGCAUGUUUAUUUGCCACCAAAUCUGAUAUUGAUGAGCUAGAUUUCAGCAAAUCUGUUUGCUAUGCUUUUGUGUGCAAAGAGGCAUUAUUUUCAUUCGAGGACGUGCCUUCCUCUUUGCCUCCUGCUGUCACUAACAUUUUGCAGGAGUUCGCUGACAUUUUUCCACAAGACGUGCCACCGGGAUUACCGCCUAUUCGAGGGAUUGUGCAUCAGAUUGACUUAAUUCCCGGUGCUUCACUGCCAAACCGUGCACCAUACCGUACCAAUCCAGAGGAGACGAAGGAGAUUAUGCGUCAAGUACAAGAGCUUCUCGACAAAGGUUAUAUACGCGAAUCCCUUAGUCCUUGUGAUGUUCCUAUUAUUCUAGUGCCGAAAAAGGAUGGUACAUCACGUAUGUGUGUUGAUUGUAGAGGCAUUAAUAAUAUUACUAUUCGUUAUCGUCAUCCUAUUCCUAGGCUAGAUGAUAUGCUUGAUGAAUUGAGUGGCUCUACAAUAUUCUCCAAAGUUGAUUUGCGUAGUGGCUACCAUCAAAUUCGUAUGAAAUUGGGAGAUGAAUGGAAAACAGCAUUUAAAACUAAGUUUGGAUUAUAUGAGUGGUUAGUCAUGCGUUUUGGGUUAACUAAUGCACCUAGUACUUUCAUGAGAUUAAUGAACGAAGUUUUACGUGCUUUCAUUGGACGAUUUGUGGUAGUUUACUUUGAUGACAUAUUGAUUUAUAGCAGAUCUUUGGAAGAACAUUUGGAACAUUUACGUGCUGUUUUUAUUGCUCUACGUGAUGCACGUUUGUUUGGUAACCUUGGGAAGUGCACCUUUUGCACCGACCGAGUAUCUUUUCUUGGCUAUGUUGUUACUCCACAGGGAAUUGAAGUUGAUAAAGCCAAGAUUGAAGCUAUUGAGAGUUGGCCACAGCCCAAAACGGUCACACAAGUGAGGAGUUUUCUUGGCCUCGCUGGAUUCUAUAGGCGUUUUGUGAGAGAUUUCAGCACCAUUGCUGCACCUCUCAAUGAGCUUACAAAGAAAGAUGUGCCUUUUCUUUGGGGUAUCGCACAGGAAGAAGCCUUCACGGUAUUGAAGCUAGCUCCGUUCGUCUUUUGUUGUUGCAGGAGGCGCAUGGAGGAGGAUUAA
rnacentral:rRNA from 1 species